rnacentral:rRNA from 1 species
CGGGGUGAGUAACGCGUGGAGAACCUGCCGUAUACUGGGGGAUAACACUUAGAAAUAGGUGCUAAUACCGCAUAAGCGCACAGCUUCGCAUGAAGCAGUGUGAAAAACUCCGGUGGUAUACGAUGGAUCCGCGUCUGAUUAGCUGGUUGGCGGGGUAAAGGCCCACCAAGGCGACGAUCAGUAGCCGGCCUGAGAGGGUGAACGGCCGCAUUGGGACUGAGACACGGCCCAAACUCCUACGGAAGGCAGCAG